UGGGGAAUAUUGCACAAUGGGCGAAAGCCUGAUUCAGCGACGCCGCGUGAGGGAUGACGGCCUUCGGGUUGUAAACCUCUUUCAGCAGGGACGAAGCGCAAGUGACGGUACCUGCAGAAGAAGCACCGGCUAACUACGUGCCAGCAGCCGCGGUAAUACGUAGGGUGCAAGCGUUGUCCGGAAUUACUGGGCGUAAAGAGUUCGUAGGCGGUUUGUCGCGUCGUUUGUGAAAACCAGCAGCUCAACUGCUGGCUUGCAGGCGAUACGGGCAGACUUGAGUACUGCAGGGGAGACUGGAAUUCCUGGUGUAGCGGUGAAAUGCGCAGAUAUCAGGAGGAACACCGGUGGCGAAGGCGGGUCUCUGGGCAGUAACUGACGCUGAGGAACGAAAGCGUGGGUAGCGAACAGG
rnacentral:rRNA from 1 species